rnacentral:lncRNA from 1 species
UUUCAGCAACCUCCCCCAAAUCUCGCACUGCAGCCACCAUCCCCAUCUUUCCAACCAUGCAUUUCGGCCAUGGGGCUCUUCCUCAUCGGGGUGAAGCUUUCUUUCUCUCUUUCUAUAUCUCUCUCUCUCUCUUCCUCUCGCUUUUCCAGCAAAGUCGUAUUAACAUUCUUCGCUGUCGUCACUUAUCGAUCGAUUAGAUAUUCCUAAAUUUCAAACUUCACUACCUAUUUGCCGGCUGUGAUGAGAUGGAUCGAUCACAUAUCGAUCAAUUAGAAAUUCUCAAAUUUCAACUUCAAACUUCACACGUAUAGACGAGAUGGAUAGAUCAUCAGGAAUUGAAGAGAGACAAAGGAAAGGAAAUAAAGCAUCUCCGACUGUGAGGAGUAACGUGGCGGCGAUGGGGUUGUGCUGUUGCAGUGAUCGGCGGCGAUGGGGUUGUGAAGUUGCAGUGGAUGGUUAUGGGGGUGGUCACGGUUAGGUUCGGCUCGGUUCUACCCUCAAACCAGAACUGGAUUUGGGACAUUUCAACGGUUUGGUUUAGUGCAAUUCUGCUCAAAUUUAUUAUUAAAACCGUACGGUUUGGUUCAUGACAGUUAUUGUUCAG